rnacentral:rRNA from 1 species
AUGAGGAAGGCCGAGCACAUCAUCUGCCCAGCUCCCAUGCCAGAAAACCCAGUAGACACCCGUCUAGCGGGGCUGCUGGUUCCGGCACCGCAUGUGGUGCCGGAGAAGAAGGCCAAGAAGGAGGCCACGGGUACUCAAAAGAGUUCCCGCUUUCAAGUGUCCGACGAUUCCGGGGCGGACUCCUCCCCCGAAGGCAAGGAGGAGGAAGAAGACCCUCUCUCAGAGGAAGGAGAGAGGAAGAGGAAGGCUUCCCCGACAGGGGAGGCCGAAGGGUCCAAGAGGGGAAGGACUAUUCCCCCGGACAGCUCCACCAACACCAACAUCGGCGAUGAAGAGUGGCCCUCAAGGGCCAGGCCUCCGGCAAGAUCGUAA